UACGUAGGGACCAAGCGUUGUUCGGAUUUACUGGGCGUAAAGGGCGCGUAGGCGGCGUGUUAAGUCACUUGUGAAAUCUCUAAGCUUAACUUAGAACGGUCAAGUGAUACUGAUGUGCUAGAGUGCAGAAGGGGCAACCGGAAUUCUUGGUGUAGCGGUGAAAUGCGUAGAUAUCAAGAGGAACACCUGAGGUGAAGACGGGUUGCUGGGCUGACACUGACGCUGAGGCGCGAAAGCUAGGGAAGCAAACGGG
rnacentral:rRNA from 1 species